GUCAUCUGUCGGGUUAAUAUAGGACUUCGGCAAGGCUGUUUUAUAGUAAGUUCCGGUCUAGGGGUAGUAAGGUAAGGAGAAUGAGGCGGGUUAAUUUUACUGGGCGGAAGUUCAGUCAACAGGAUGUUGCGGGCCGGGCUGGGAGGAGCCUGACCAGGAACCAGAAGUGACGUUAAUUCCGGAUAUAUAGAACUAGUGGAGGUAGGUACCGGAAGGGGCGGACUAAGGG
rnacentral:lncRNA from 1 species